GUGAGUCAUCGAAUCUUUGAACGCACAUUGCGCCUCCCUUAGGGGGGCAUGCCUGUCUGAGCGUCAUUUAAACCAAAUGAACCCGAUCGGGUUCGUGUUGGGCCUCGCCCUUUAGGGCGUCGCCUCGAGGCUAUUGGUCUAACGAGCGGACGAGUUCCUCUAGGACGGACCGCUCGGUGACCCCACAUUCUCUGAUUUGACCUCAGAUCAGGUAGGGACACCGCCUGAACUUAAGCAUAUCAAUAAGCGGAGGA
rnacentral:misc_RNA from 1 species